AGCGAACGCUGGCGGCAGGCCUAACACAUGCAAGUCGAACGAAGUCUUCGGACUUAGUGGCGGACGGGUGAGUAACACGUGGGAACGUUCCUUUAGGUUCGGAAUAACUCAGGGAAACUUGUGCUAAUCACGAAUGUGCCCCUCGGGGGAAAGAGUUAUCGCCUUUAGAGCGGCCCGCGUCGGAUUAGCUAGUUGGUGAUGUAAAAGCUCACCAAGGCGACGAUCAGUAGCUGGUCUGAGAGGAUGAUCAGCGGCAUUGGGGCUGAGACGCGGCCCAAACUACUACGUGGGGCAGCAGUGGGGAAUCUUGCGCAAUAGGCGAAAGCCUGACGCAGCCAUGCCGCGUGAAUGAUGAAGGUCUUAGUAUUGUAAAAUUCUUUCACCGGGGACGAUAAUAACGGUACCCGGAGAAGAAGCCCCGGCUAACUUCGUGCCAGCAGCCGCCGCAGUAA
rnacentral:rRNA from 1 species